rnacentral:rRNA from 1 species
UACCAUGCAAGUCGAGCGGUAAGGCCCCUUCGGGGGUACACGAGCGGCGAACGGGUGAGUAACACGUGAGUAAUCUGCCCUUCACUUCGGGAUAACCAUCGGAAACGAUGGCUAAUACCGAAUACGACGCACCGUUGCAUGACGUGUGCGUGGAAAGUUUUGUCGGUGGAGGAUGUGCUCGCGGCCUAUCAGCUAGUUGGUGAGGUAACGGCCCACCAAGGCUUCGACGGGUAGCCGGCCUGAGAGGGUGACCGGCCACACUGGGACUGAGACACGGCCCAGACUCCUACGGGAGGCAGCAGUGGGGAAUAUUGGACAAUGGGCGAAAGCCUGAUCCAGCAACGCCGCGUGAGGGAUGACGGCCUUCGGGUUGUAAACCUCUUUCAGUACCGACGAAGCGCCCCUAGGGGUGGUGACGGUAGGUACAGAAGAAGGACCGGCCAACUACGUGCCAGCAGCCGCGGUAAUACGUAGGGUCCGAGCGUUGUCCGGAAUUAUUGGGCGUAAAGGGCUCGUAGGCGGUUUGUCGCGUCGGGAGUGAAAUUUUACAGCUUAACUGUGAACGUGCUUUCGAUACGGGCAGACUUGAGGCAUUCAGGGGAGAACGGAAUUCCUGGUGUAGCGGUGAAAUGCGCAGAUAUCAGGAGGAACACCGGUGGCGAAGGCGGUUCUCUGGGAAUGUCCUGACGCUGAGGAGCGAAAGUGUGGGGAGCGAACAGGAUUAGAUACCCUGGUAGUCCACACCGUAAACGUUGGGCGCUAGGUGUGGGGUCCAUUCCACGGAUUCCGUGCCGCAGCUAA